GAUGAACGCUGGCGGCGUGCCUAAUACAUGCCAGUCGAGCGAACAGAUGAGGAGCUUGCUCCUCUGACGUUAGCGGCGGACGGGUGAGUAACACGUGGAUAACCUACCUAUAAGACUGGGAUAACUACGGGAAACCGGAGCUAAUACCGGAUAAUAUAUUGAACCGCAUGGUUCAAUAGUGAAAGACGGUUUUGCUGUCACUUAUAGAUGGAUCCGCGCCGCAUUAGCUAGUUGGUAAGGUAACGGCUUACCAAGGCAACGAUGCGUAGCCGACCUGAGAGGGUGAUCGGCCACACUGGAACUGAGACACGGUCCAGACUCCUACGGGAGGCAGCAGUAGGGAAUCUUCCGCAAUGGGCGAAAGCCUGACGGAGCAACGCCGCGUGAGUGAUGAAGGUCUUCGGAUCGUAAAACUCUGUUAUUAGGGAAGAACAAAUGUGUAAGUAACUAUGCACGUCUUGACGGCACCUAAUCAGAAAGCCACGGCUAACUACGUG
rnacentral:rRNA from 1 species